AAGCCUGGGAAACUGGGUCUAAUACUGGAUAUGACCUUUCUCCUUAUGGGGUUUGGUGGAAAGUUUUUCGGUGUAGGAUGAGCCCGCGGCCUAUCAGCUUGUUGGUGGGGUGAUGGCCUACCAAGGCGACGACGGGUAGCCGGCCUGAGAGGGUGAUCGGCCACAUUGGGACUGAGAUACGGCCCAG
rnacentral:rRNA from 1 species